CAACUUUCAGCAACGGAUCUCUUGGCUCUCGCAUCGAUGACGAACGCAGCGAAUUGCGAUAAGUAAUGUGAAUUGCAGAUUAUCAGUGAAUCAUCGAAUUUUUGAACGCAUCUUGCGCUCCUUGGUAUUCCGAGGAGCAUGCCUGUUUGAGUGUCGG
rnacentral:rRNA from 1 species